rnacentral:rRNA from 1 species
UACGGGGGGAGCAAGCGUUGUUCGGAUUUACUGGGCGUAAAGGGCGCGUAGGCGGCGCAACAAGUCACUUGUGAAAUCUCUAGGCUUAACCCGGAGCGGCCAAGUGAUACGUGUCGUGCUAGAGUGGCGGAAGGGGCUACUGGAAUUCUCGGUGUAGCGGUGAAAUGCGUAGAUAUCGAGGAGGAACACCGAUGGACGAAGGCAGAGUCUCGGGCCGUAAC